UUCCCUUUGCCCUUCAUGGAGUUUGGGUCUUUACUACUUCAGAUUCCAAACCAGGCAGUUCUGCUUCGUUCUGUUGUCAGCAGUCAGAACGAUGAGGUUCCUGUCUGUUGAAAUGUGGGGAUUCAUACUAACAACCCCAAAAUGCUUCAAUACUUGUCUUUUCCUCAUGUUAAGGACCUUCCUGGGGCUGGAGAGCAGGACAGGCUCAGGUGCUGGAGACCAAUCCCUGAGCGAUCGACAGGACCAUGCAGGAGUUCAGCCUGAGCACAUUUCACCAGAAUAUAGUUGAUUAUUUUGAAGAUAGUGCUUCCCUGGAGAUUUUCUGGACAUGAAAUUCGCUGCAAGCCCAGGAAUUAAUUCUUCUCCUUCCCGCUGCACUGAUGUGGAGUAUAGAUCUGCAGGAAUUGGAUAUGAAGCUGGGAAUGGAUGGGAUCAUCUUCACCCCUUACUGGAUCCAAACUACAAGAAGUAUCCAUGCAUGAACAACCAGGGAAAUGUCUGUCUAAUAACUAAUAAAUAUCUGUGUAAUAA